rnacentral:piRNA from 1 species
UGGUGUGCACUGGAAGAUCUCCAUGCUGUGU